GGGGCCUUGCCGGUUAUGCCUACAAGUCCCAUGAUGCCUCACGCCUGAACGCUGGCUCUACUCUGAACACCUGAUUGUCAACAGAGUGGAAAUGUCGGCGGUUCGCAGGGAAGAAGCGCUCCCACAGAUGGAGACCGAAGGGAGAACUUCCCCUGUGUCGACCAGAUGAGCAUGUGGGAUUUGGACGCGUUGGGCGGUCCGCCUCGGUGGAACGCUUUACUGAGCAGCUCCACUCCGCCUGGAGGCCGCUGAAUGUUUGGCAUAGCAACCGCGUCAGGCCUCUCGUUACCACGGGGCUUCCUUCGCCCGCGCAGCUGUCUUCGGACCGCAGCUUUAAAGCGACAGCGAACAAAAGCACUGCCCCCCCCCCCACCACCACCACCACCACCAUUACCCCAUUGGUGGUUUGUUAACGAGAAGUAAAACCCAAAUGAUGUCCGGUCUCGAAAUAUGAAACGGUUGGUUUGACUUCCCUUAAGCGGCGUGGGGCGGAGGAGCCCCGCGGGGCCUCUGGGCUUCUGUCCGUCUCCUCUGAUCUCUUGACAAUAAUGAUUUGUUUGUCUGCUGCGAGUUGUUGCCCAGCAGGAGUGCACACCUGUGUGUGUGUGUGUGUGUGUGUGUGUGUGUGUGUGUGUCCCGGGUGGCUCCUCCGUCAGCUGAUCGUAGUGGCAGUGUUGGGUUUCAUCAUGCUGUUUAUUCCUCCACCCUGAAGUUCGAGGGGUGGGGGCGGCAUGUGUGUGCUUGCGUGUGCUUGCUGUCGUGUUGACGUCUCCGGGCUCUGUUGAACAGAGACAUUGCGUGUCCCCGAGCCUCACCCGUCCCUCCCCUUUCUGUCACCUUCACUUCUUGUUCUUUAACAACCCGAGGAGGAGGAGGAUGGGGAGGAGUUUGAUUCCAGCCCCCCCCUCCUCCCCCGGUUUGUUUAUCUGUGCGCCGGUCGUCUCUCUCUCAGCUUAUUGCGACACUUACUGUCACAAACGGAUGACCCCAGCCGGGCAUGUGUGUGUUUAUAUUUGAGUGUGUGUGUGUGUGUGUCAGGAGGGGGGGAGGGCUCUAGCCCGCGAGGCUAUUAAUACCACCUAAUGAACAUAAUCUGGAGGGUAGGUGAUCCUCUUUCAUUCGUCUGCCCGAGGCCGAGGGGAGGAGUGCAGCGCGGGAGGAAGAGGAGGGAAAAGGCUGCUGUGCUGUUAAUGCGCCACCUCCACGCUGCUCCACUCAAAUCAAGAAACAGAAA
ensembl:lncRNA